rnacentral:rRNA from 1 species
GACGAACGCUGGCGGCGUGCUUAACACAUGCAAGUCGAACGGAAAGACCCUGCUUUUGUGGGGUGCUCGAGUGGCGAACGGGUGAGUAACACGUGAGUAACCUGCCCUUGACUUUGGGAUAACUUCAGGAAACUGGGGCUAAUACCGGAUAGGAGCUCCUGCUGCAUGGUGGGGGUUGGAAAGUUUCGGCGGUUGGGGAUGGACUCGCGGCUUAUCAGCUUGUUGGUGGGGUAGCGGCUUACCAAGGCUUUGACGGGUAGCCGGCCUGAGAGGGUGACCGGCCACAUUGGGACUGAGAUACGGCCCAGACUCCUACGGGAGGCAGCAGUGGGGAAUAUUGCACAAUGGGCGGAAGCCUGAUGCAGCAACGCCGCGUGCGGGAUGACGGCCUUCGGGUUGUAAACCGCUUUCGCCUGUGACGAAGCGUGAGUGACGGUAAUGGGUAAAGAAGCACCGGCUAACUACGUG